GAUGAACGCUGGCGGCGUGCCUAAUACAUGCAAGUCGAACGCGAGCACUUGUGCUCGAGUGGCGAACGGGUGAGUAAUACAUAAGUAACCUGCCCUAGACAGGGGGAUAACUAUUGGAAACGAUAGCUAAGACCGCAUAGGUACGGACACUGCAUGGUGACCGUAUUAAAAGUGCCUCAAAGCACUGGUAGAGGAUGGACUUAUGGCGCAUUAGCUGGUUGGUGAGGUAACGGCCCACCAAGGCAACGAUCGGUAGCCGGACUGAGAGGUUGAACGGCCACAUUGGGACUGAGACGCGGCCCAG
rnacentral:rRNA from 1 species